GAUGAACGCUGGCGGCGUGCCUAAUACAUGCAAGUCGAGCGAACAGACGAGGAGCUUGCUCCUCUGACGUUAGCGGCGGACGGGUGAGUAACACGUGGAUAACCUACCUAUAAGACUGGGUUAACUUCGGGAAACCGGAGCUAAUACCGGAUAAUAUAUUGAACCGCAUGGUUCAAUAGUGAAAGACGGUUUUGCUGUCACUUAUAGAUGGAUCCGCGCCGCAUUAGCUAGUUGGUAAGGUAACGGCUUACCAAGGCAACGAUGCGUAGCCGACCUGAGAGGGUGAUCGGCCACACUGGAACUGAGACACGGUCCAGACUCCUACGGGAGGCAGCAGUAGGGAAUCUUCCGCAAUGGGCGAAAGCCUGACGGAGCAACGCCGCGUGAGUGAUGAAGGUCUUCGGAUCGUAAAACUCUGUUAUUAGGGAAGAACAAAUGUGUAAGUAACUAUGCACGUCUUGACGGUACCUAAUCAGAAGGCCACGGCUAACUACGUG
rnacentral:rRNA from 1 species